GUCCGCAAGGACAAUUUGACAAUUUGACCUCAAAUCAGGUACGUUGGCCCCCCCAUGU
rnacentral:rRNA from 1 species